AGUCCAGUGGUGUAUUUACAUAUUGAAUUGCAAAUUCAAAGAAGCAGCUUCGAUCCUGCCCGGGCUU
rnacentral:tRNA from 1 species